GAUGAACGCUAGCGGCAGGCUUAAUACAUGCAAGUCGUGGGGCAGCAGGGGUGUAGCAAUACAUCUGCUGGCGACCGGCAAACGGGUGCGUAACACGUACGCAACCUUCCCGUUACUGUGGCAUAGCCCAGGGAAACUUGGAUUAAUACCACAUAUUAUAUUGAGGGGGCAUCCCUUUGAUAUCAAAGCUUCGGCGGUAACGGAUGGGCGUGCGGUUGAUUAGGUAGUUGGCGGGGUAACGGCCCACCAAGCCUACGAUCAAUAGCUGAUGUGAGAGCAUGAUCAGCCACACGGGCACUGAGACACGGGCCCGACUCCUACGGGAGGCAGCAGUAAGGAAUAUUGGGCAAUGGACGAAAGUCUGACCCAGCCAUGCCGCGUGAAGGAUUAAGGUCCUCUGGAUUGUAAACUUCUUUUCUCUGGGGCGAAAACCAGCUAUUCUUAGCUAUUUGACAGUACCAGAGGAAUAAGCACCGGCUAACUCCGUGCCAGCCGCCGCGGUAAAAC
rnacentral:rRNA from 1 species